rnacentral:rRNA from 1 species
GACGAACGCUGGCGGCGUGCUUAACACAUGCAAGUCGAACGGAAAGGCCCUGCUUUUGUGGGGUGCUCGAGUGGCGAACGGGUGAGUAACACGUGAGUAACCUGCCCUUGACUUUGGGAUAACUUCAGGAAACUGGGGCUAAUACCGGAUAGGAGCUCCUACUGCAUGGUGGGGGUUGGAAAGUUUCGGCGGUUGGGGAUGGACUCGCGGCUUAUCAGCUUGUUGGUGGGGUAGUGGCUUACCAAGGCUUUGACGGGUAGCCGGCCUGAGAGGGUGACCGGCCACAUUGGGACUGAGAUACGGCCCAGACUCCUACGGGAGGCAGCAGUGGGGAAUAUUGCACAAUGGGGGGAAGCCUGAUGCAGCAACGCCGCGUGCGGGAUGACGGCCUUCGGGUUGUAAACCGCUUUCGCCUGUGACGAAGCGUGAGUGACGGUAAUGGGUAAAGAAGCACCGGCUAACUACGUG